GGACGAACGCUGGCGGCAUGCCUAACACAUGCAAGUCGAACGGAAUAGGUUUGGUUGUAGCGAUACUUUCGGACCUAUUUAGUGGCGAACGGGUGAGUAACACGUGAGCAACCUGCCUUCUACACAGGGAUAACAGCCGGAAACGGCUGCUAAUACCGGAUAAGACCACACCGAGGCAUCUCGGAGGGGUCAAAGCGCUUUAGCGGUAGAAGAUGGGCUCGCGUCCCAUUAGCUAGUUGGUGAGAUAACAGCCCACCAAGGCGACGAUGGGUAGCCGACUUGAGAGAGUGAUCGGCCACAUUGGAACUGAGACACGGUCCAGACUCCUUCGGGAGGCAGCAGUGGGGAAUAUUGGGCAAUGGAGGAAACUCUUACCCAGCCAAUGCCGCGUGGAUGAGGAAGGCCUUCGGGUUGUAAAGUCCUUUUAUUGAUGAUAAAGAAAGUGAUAUUAGUCAAUGAAUAAGCCCCGGCUAACUACGUGCCAGCCGCUGC
rnacentral:rRNA from 1 species